rnacentral:rRNA from 1 species
GUAGGGGGCAAGCGUUGUCCGGAUUCAUUGGGCGUAAAGCGCGUGUAGGCGGCCAGGUAGGUCCGGUGUGAAAACUCGAGGCUCAACCUCGAGAGGUCAUCGGAAACCAUCUGGCUAGAGUCCGGAAGAGGAGAGUGGAAUUCCCGGUGUAGCGGUGAAAUGCGCAGAUAUCGGGAAGAACACCCAUGGCGAAGGCAGCUCUCUGGGACGGUACUGACGCUGAGACGCGAAAGCGUGGGGAGCGAACAGGAUUAGAUACCCUGGUAGUCCACGCCGUAAACGAUGGGUGCUAGGUGUGGGUGGUGUCGACUCCAUCCGUGCCGCAGCUAACGCAUUAAGCACCCCGCCUGGGGAGUACGGCCACAAGGCUA